UAGGAAUUUUGGGCAAUGGGCGCAAGCCUGACCCAGCAACGCCGCGUGGGUGACGAAGGCCUUCGGGUUGUAAAGCCCUGUGGGGAGAGACGAAUAAGUUCCGGUUAAUACCCGGAGCGAUGACGGUAUCUCCUUAGCAAGCACCGGCUAACUCU
rnacentral:rRNA from 1 species